GACGUAGGGGGCCAGCGUUGUUCGGAAUUACUGGGUGUAAAGGGUUCGUAGGCGGUGUGGCAAGUCGGGAGUGAAAUCUCUGGGCUCAACCCAGAGGCUGCUUCCGAAACUGCUGUGCUUGAGUGUGGGAGAGGCGCGUGGAAUUGCAGGUGUAGCGGUGAAAUGCGUAGAUAUCUGCAGGAACACCCGUGGCGAAAGCGGCGCGCUGGAACAUUUCUGACGCUGAGGCUCGAAAGCGUGGGGAGCAAACAGG
rnacentral:rRNA from 1 species